GGGGAAUAUUGCGCAAUGGGCGAAAGCCUGACGCAGCGACGCCGCGUGAGGGAUGACGGCCUUCGGGUUGUAAACCUCUUUCAGCAGGGACGAAGCGCAAGUGACGGUACCUGCAGAAGAAGCACCGGCCAACUACGUGCCAGCAGCCGCGGUAAUACGUAGGGUGCAAGCGUUGUCCGGAAUUAUUGGGCGUAAAGAGCUCGUAGGCGGCUUGUCACGUCGACUGUGAAAACCCGGGGCUCAACUCCGGGCCUGCAGUCGAUACGGGCUGGCUUGAGUGCGGUAGGGGAGACUGGAAUUCCUGGUGUAGCGGUGAAAUGCGCAGAUAUCAGGAGGAACACCGGUGGCGAAGGCGGCAUCCUGGACCGAUACUGACGCUGAUGAGCGAAAGCCAGGGGAGCAAAC
rnacentral:rRNA from 1 species